CCUACGAGUGGCAGCAGUGGGGACUAUUGCACAAUGGGGGAAACCCUGAUGCAGCGACGCCGCGUGGGUGAAGAAGUAUUUCGGUACGUAAAGCUCUAUCAGCAGGGAAGAAAAUGACGGUAUCUGACUAAGAAGCCCCGGCUAACUACGUGCCAGCAGCCGCGGUAAUACGGAGGGGGCAAGCGUUAUCCGGAUUUACUGGGUGUAAAGGGAGCGUAGACGUCAGCGCAAGUCUGGAGUGAAAUCCAAUGGCUUAACCAUGGAACUGCAUUUGAAAAUGUGCAGCUAGAGUGCAGGAGAGGUAAGCGGAAUUCCUAGUGUAGCGGUGAAAUGCGUAGAUAUUAGGAGGAACACGAGGGGCGAAGGCGGCUUACUGGACUGUAACUGACGUUGAGGCUCGAAAGCGUGGGGAGCAAACAGGAUUAGAUACCCUUGUAGUC
rnacentral:rRNA from 1 species